GGCUGGCAACUAUAGGUCCUAAUUAUAUUUAAGUGUCGGAAGACCCCCCCCCACCCUCCAGUCGUCGUCUCCAAACACACCCCUAAUAAGUUCUGCGUAACACCACCGUCCGCCGCCGCAGGAAAUCGCCCACGGCGGCGGCCCGUCUCCAAAUCAUACCAAAAUAACACCCUAGAACCUUCUUUCUAUCCUCUUUCCAACCCCCAACUUAGAUUCCCUCGAAUCUACCCCAAGUCUUCGAAUCUUAAAUCUGAAAAACUCCGGCCAAGUCACAAAGUGGUCCAAAUCUGACCAAAUUCACACCGCCGAAUCUCCUCAACUCCCUUAACCCAAAUCCACAACUAGUGGUCCUCAAAUAUCAGUUUAAUGGCUCGAAUUUUAAUUCAAAGUUGGCCGAAAGCCUAAAUUCUCGGAAAGGCUACCAAAUCGGUAUUACAUGGUCUCCUCACCCUCCUUGUGCAGAAUCCAUCAGUGGCAAGGGUCAUUCAUCGCCAAAAGUUAUUUAAUUAUUUUUAAAAAAGAGAAGUGUUACGCCAUGGCAGUGAGUUUUCUUUUCUAUUUCUUUCUUUCUGUUUUUCUGUAUGUUUGAGUAUCUCUGACGCAAUUGUUUAGUGUUGCUUCCAGUGUGGUUUGAAUUUUAGACUUAGGUAGUUUAAAUUUUCGGAUUAGUUUUGUUCGUUCUGUUAAUUGGCUUAUUAGAUUAAUUCUGAUUCUUCGUUUGGAUAGUUUAUUUGUUAGGUAUUUGUUAAUUUGAUUAGUUUAGUUGAAGUUCCUUCUUGUAAUUUGAUUUUUCUUGUUAGAUUUCUUUAGUUCAAAUCUGUUUUGAAAGUAUUUGGUUCCCAUCUAAUUGAAUUGGUAUUUUGUAAGUUUGAUUAAGUUUAGUUUAGUUAAUGUUCAAGGUGCACUGGCAGGAUAAUUAGCUCUACGAGAAUUGGAUAUAGUUGGCUAGACUAGUUUAGUAAUUUUGAGUGAAUUCAAGGGCGUUGUGGGUAAUUGGUAGUUACAAGAAUUAUGUGGAACCCCCUAAGAGCUUCUAGAUGGGGGCUUCUAGGUAAUUUGCAAAGGAUAUGUGUAGUUACUUGGUUAACAAGUUAAUAAAUAAAGGGCUAAAGCUGAAAAGAAAACGGGACUAAUAGGGAAAACAGAAAUGUGAGGGCUGCCCCUCCUUUGGCCUAUAUAAAGGCAUGAAUAGUGCCAUGAAUAGGAAGCUUUUCAGCCAUCAAAAUUCCCCCCAAAUACUCUCUAGCUGCAGAUUCACAAUGAGAUCUGAAAUCUGAAAUUUCCCUUAGAUUGUUUUAGGCUUUUCUAUAAAUAAAAAACCAAAACCACAACAAAACUUCAAAAAUCCAAAACAUCACUGUUAUACUGCUGUUUGCAUUUCAAUUUCAAGUUUAAUUGCUGGUCAGGUUUCUCUUAGUUCAUGGUUUGUUAGUUGAAAUUCAGAAACUAUUCCAUUGGUGUUUGUUUUUGAUUGCUGUGGGAAUUCUGGGUUGGAUUUCAAGUUAAAUUGGUGUUCAAGCUGUGUGUGUGGGUGAUCUCUAUUUUCCUACUGGGUUUCAAAGUUUUUCUAGGCUUUUUGAGUUAAAUCUUAAAUUGCUGUUGAUUUCUGCCCAUCACUGCUGUUUGAAUUGCUGAGUAUCAGUUUGAUUACUUGCUGUUGAUCCCUUCUCUUCCUUUUCUGUCCUGUUUCCAGGUAUGUGACCUUGUAGCUCUUUUUUGUUUGGAAGUGAAUUUGAGGAAUGAAAUGGAAAUGAAGAAUUGAAGUCUGGAAACUGUCCAAGCUCACUUGUUUUUUCUGAUUUUGUUUGUUGUUUAACUUAGUCUGAUUGUUUUGUCCAGAUUAGUUGUAGUUGAGCAUGUGAGUUACUAGUAGAGUGACAUGGUGUUAGAUGGUUGAAUUGAUUCAUAUAU
rnacentral:lncRNA from 1 species